rnacentral:pre_miRNA from 1 species
GUCUCCUGGGCAUCUUGUUAAAAUGCAGAUUCUAAAUCAGUAGGUCUAACAGGGACCAAGAGUCUGCAUUUUUAACAGGCUCCCCAAGUGAUAUUGA